rnacentral:rRNA from 1 species
UAGGGAAUCUUCCACAAUGGACGCAAGUCUGAUGGAGCAACGCCGCGUGAGUGAAGAAGGUUUUCGGAUCGUAAAGCUCUGUUGUUGGUGAAGAAGGAUAGAGGCAGUAACUGGUCUUUAUUUGACGGUAAUCAACCAGAAAGUCACGGCUAACUACGUGCCAGCAGCCGCGGUAAUACGUAGGUGGCAAGCGUUGUCCGGAUUUAUUGGGCGUAAAGCGAGCGCAGGCGGAAUGAUAAGUCUGAUGUGAAAGCCCACGGCUCAACCGUGGAACCGCAUCGGAAACUGUCAUUCUUGAGUGCAGAAGAGGAGAGUGGAAUUCCAUGUGUAGCGGUGGAAUGCGUAGAUAUAUGGAAGAACACCAGUGGCGAAGGCGGCUCUCUGGUCUGCAACUGACGCUGAGGCUCGAAAGCAUGGGUAGCGAACAGG